CACCAUGGCCAUCAUAAACUCCAAAGAAAUGAGUUGUCAAAUGACUUAAAUACCUAGUCAUUCCAUCAGGCAAACGAUUGCCAACUAGCAUCUGUAUAGGAAUUCUCAAGAACCUAGGAACAUUUGCAAGCGCAUCUUUCAUUUCUGGUCUCCUUCCACACACAGAUGUAAAUCCCCAAAGGGGUAUAUAAUCCACUUCAAAAAUAUUGCGGCCAACUGCUGCAUUUAACCCUUUAUCUAAAGGUAGCUGAACAACAACUUCAGCUGAUUUCGAGCUGGAGCCAUCCGUAAUCUGCUCAUCAAGUUUUUCCCCAACUGCCAGAGGCUUGCUCUCUGUCUCCUGAGCACCUGACUCUACCAGAUCUCCAGCCUUAGCUAUAAGUUUGACAUUGCAAAUGUUUUUCUCAGCAUCUACCAAAUUAUGUCCGUCUACGUCAAAUGCUAGCUCGAAAUUUAUAAAAUCAUCAGCACAUAAACUACUGGAAUCACUCACCACAGACAGGGAACAUGAACUAUCAAGAAUUUGAUCACCAUCUAGUGAUAAGAUCUCAUCAUCCUCACUUUCCCUGACAACAUCAAUCCAAUUCCUUUCAAUUUCAGGUAUGAUACCAGUUUCUUCAGGUACAGUAACAGUGAGGUGUUUCUUCUGUGAAUCAACAGAAUUGCAAUCAUCAUAAACAGAAGAUUUUGGAUACAAAGUUGUAGCAUGGUCAGCCAUUGACUUUAGGCUAGUGACAUCCAUUUGACUUUGGUUGUGAGAGAUGAAAUUACCUAAUCUAAAUGGCAAAGCAACCGCCAAACACAUGUCGUCCAUCAAAAUCACUAUCUUGUAACAACAUUACAUAGCUUGUCAUUGUCAAACUAAUAAUAAUCUUCUCAUGAGCUUCACCACACCAUUUUUCAUGCCUAGAAAGAUCUAACACAUACCCUGAUUCACAAUUUUGUAGUCAGAUCUGGUAAGAAAAAAUACCUUUUUGGUUGGAAAAUUCACCUAAAAAUACAAAAAAAAGGUAAGAUUUUAGAUUUGUCUGUCUGCCAUCACUUUCUUCCCAAAAUCCAAUGAACUAUUGAUAACCCAGAUAAAGCUUGAUAAAUUGAAUCAAAGAAAGGGGAAAAAAAGGGGUCUUGGCAAAAAGUGUCAAGAAUCACAAGAAAGAAACCCUGAAAAAGAUGGUACCCUUUUAUCAAUAAAACUUGAGUACCUUGGAUCUGAGGCAACCCAACCAAACCCACCUAAGAAAUGCAGUCUUUUUCAAACCAUAUAUGGGGAUGGAAAUAGUAUAGAGGAGGAACCACUAGCUUAUUUUUCAAGAAUGGUACUGUUUUGUUCAGAGCUUACUUUCCUUCUCAUCCCCAGAAGAGUAAAAUAGUUCAAUACUUGGAAGAGAAGGGAGAAGCAUCAACAAUGGUAAAUAUCAAACAACAAAAAUGGGUUGCUUAUACAAUGUAAUGUAACAGUUCAAUGUGAUCAUUAAAACACUUUCUCAUCUUUUUCUUUCUUUUUUUUCUAUCUUUUAACUUGGGUCAUGUCGA
rnacentral:lncRNA from 1 species